GCCCGUCACACCAUGAGAGUUGGGAAUACCCGAAGCCUGUGAGCUAACUUAUAGAGGCAGCAGUCGGAGGUAGAAUCAAUGAUUGGGGUGAAGUCGUAACAAGGUAAC
rnacentral:rRNA from 1 species